rnacentral:lncRNA from 1 species
CAAGUCUCUGAGGCCAGAUGGGCUGCAUCCGAGCACUGCAAGAAAGAUUGCUCUGAUGGUACAGAGAAUGAAGCUCCAAGAUGUCUAGAGAAAGGUGCAUACAGUUACUGUGGUAAUCAGAGGAUAUAAAAACUGAGUAUUAUGGAAGCAACAUCAAAUUCCUUUCCUCUGCUGUAUCUGUUCCCUGUUCUGUUUUGUAGUGACUUACGCAUUACCAGGCAAAGAUAAUAACCAAAAGAAAUAUGGUGUGUUGGACCUGAAGCCAUUUUCAGC